CUUAGUGGCGGACGGGUGAGUAACGCGUGGGCAACCUGCCCCGUGCCGGGGGAUACCGCCUGGAAACAGGCGCUAAUACCGCAUAAGCGCAUACAGCCGCAUGGCAGUGUGCGGAAAGCUCCGGCGGCACGGGAUGGGCCCGCGCCCGAUUAGCCAGUUGGCGGGGUAACGGCCCACCAAAGCGACGAUCGGUAGCCGGCCUGAGAGGGCGGACGGCCACAUUGGGACUGAGACACGGCCCAAACUCCUACGGAAGGCAGCAG
rnacentral:rRNA from 1 species